UGGUGUUAUUUUGACGGCAAUACUGCACAGAAAAACAAUUGAAUUGGCUCAUCAAAUUACCAUUUCUAGAACGUAAAGCUUCCGAUUUGUUUCUCUUAUGCAUCAUGAAAAACCAUUGAAGAACGAAAAAACAAAUAUCAUGGCUAACAACAAUAAUUAAUUGAUCAUUAAUUAAUCAUCCCAAAACAGAUGAGAUGAGUUGCGCUAAUUGUGUUCUGAUGGGUAAGUUGCAUAAGCCAUAAAUGCAAAGCUCUGUUAUUUUUUUUAACCAAUUCGGUAGGGGAGCUACCGCACACCCGUUUUUUGACAGAAUUAAAGGACCAGAACAUAUUUCAGAUGGAUAUUUUCUAUUUUCUCUCCCUUUGGACUAAAAAUAGCUCUAGCAAAAGGUCAAAUAAGUAAUUAUAUAAUUCACCCAAAUCAAACAAACACUGUCCUCUGAAUUUUGGCUAAAAAUAAAAUAUAAUAACACAACUGACCUAGAUUUCUCUCGACCAAAGAAAAGUAUAUUGGAGAAAAACGGAAAAAAAAAAAUUAUUGUCUUCGGAGGCUAUUAAAGGGGAGCAUUGGUUAUAGAGAAAGCCUGAGAUAUGUCUUCUAGGGCAUGACUGGGUCCAGUAUACCAGUGUAGCUCAGUAAUCUUGUUCUUGACGUCGUCGAUCUCGGACGG
rnacentral:misc_RNA from 1 species